UACAGAGACCUCAAGCGUUAUCCGGAAUCAUUGGGCGUAAAGCGUACCGAUAGGUGGUUUUGUUAGUCUUGGGUGAAAGCCCGAAGCUCAACUUCGGAUUUGCUUAAGAUACGGCAAGACUAGAGGGGCAAAGAGGAGACUGGAACGAACGGUGUAGUAGUGAAAUGCGUUGAUAUCGUUCGGAACACCGAAAGCGAAGGCAGGUCUCUGGGUGCCACCUGACACUGCAAGGACGAAAGCGUGGGGAGCGAAUGGG
rnacentral:rRNA from 1 species